CUUUCCCUCUUUCUUCAGGCCUAACACAUGCAAGUCGAACGGUAACAGGAAGACGCUUGCUUCUUUGCUGACGAGAGGCGGACGGGUGAGUAAUGUCUGGGAAACUGCCUGAUGGAGGGGGAUAACUACUGGAAACGGUAGCUAAUACCGCAUAACGUCGCUAGACCAAAGAGGGGGACCUUCGGGCCUCUUGCCAUCGGAUGUGCCCAGAUGGGAUUAGCUAGUAGGUGGGGUAACGGCUCACCUAGGCGACGAUCCCUAGCUGGUCUGAGAGGAUGACCAGCCACACUGGAACUGAGACACGGUCCAGACUCCUACGGGAGGCAGCAGUGGGGAAUAUUGCACAAUGGGCGCAAGCCUGAUGCAGCCAUGCCGCGUGUAUGAAGAAGGCCUUCGGGUUGUAAAGUACUUUCAGCGGGGAGGAAGGGAGUAAAGUUAAUACCUUGGCUCAUUGACGUUACCCGCAGAAGAAGCACCGGCUAACUCCGUG
rnacentral:rRNA from 1 species